GCGUCGGACAGUGACUGUGGUGUUGAUCGAUAGUGAUUUUGCAUCUUUGGAUGAUUUAGAUGUUAAAGCUUUCCACCUAUCUCGAGGGGUGGCAGUACUUAUCUCCCUACAUACGUAUACGCACGGCCAAGGGUUGAGCUGUUGACUGCUGGGUCUCUGCUAACUUCACAUCGGUUUUCUUCAAUGCUGGUGGGGGCUGAGACGGCGUGGCUGGUACCGAUAUUACUUCUUCAGGCAGAAUCAUGGUGGAGAUUGGGGUUUCCAUGACUCGUUCUAUGGUAGGGGGUUCCCGGGGUGCAGGUUUCCCCCCCCCCCUCUCUCUCACUGCUUGGAUUUCCCUCGGCAGCAAAGGGCGAGGCUGAGGAGGGUGGCCCCCUUUUGGUAUGCUAUGAUACCCCCGAUAAUGGUAGCUAGCCCGAGGACGCCCGUGAUGCUACAAUUUGUGGCAGUGAGGAUUCUGUGGUAAUAAUCCUCUUGAUGAUGCAGACCGAUUUUCUCCACUUCUUCUAUGGUCUGCUGCAUUGAGCGGUCAAAGGUGCUGUCCGGGUCGUCAACAGGUAAAGGUUUCUGCUUAAUUGAUGACGUUGUUCAUUUCCAUGGUUAACAAUAAGAGGAAUAAUUAAUGGGAUGUUGGAAGAGUUCAGCAAUACUAAUUUAUUGUCAAAUCGCGACGUUUCGCUCAGGGAUAGCCAAAUUUGUAAUAUUUUAUUACUAUUACUUUUGAGCCCUUAAGUUGAAAAAACACCAACCUUGUAAUUUUUGAUUAAAUAAAUAUCAUCAAUUCAAAUA